CAUUUCCAGCCUGAGGAUGACUUGUCAUUUUAUUUCAACCCACACGAUGGCGUCAAAGAUUCGUCUGUUGGGACUAUUGCAAAGUGGACGAGUCAAGAUCAUUCGUCAGGAACAAACAGUGCCGCUCUGGAACACCGGACCCCUCCGUUGCCGGGCAACCACACACUGACUUGAUGGAGUGGAGGCAACUUCAGGCCUGUGUGAGAACAGGAUCUGAGUUGUUAUUAGACCAAAGUCCUGAUAACCUCCGCAGAGGUUUCUGGUCAGUCUCCUUGUGGAUUGUCCCAAUUUUCCAGUUGUGGUAAAGCCAGCAGUUUUUUUUUGCUCUGGAGGAGCUUCUUGGAUGAGCUCCUUGAGUGUCAAGUGUUCGAUGUUUUUUGGAUUGAGACCUAAUGAAUGUAAGCCAAUGUUAAUAUUUUGUUUUCCAUUCUGCUUUUUAUGAAAUGCUAAAUAUCUUUUAUCACUUUUUGAGCUGUAUGAGGAG